AGUGAACGCUGGCGGUAGGCCUAACACAUGCAAGUCGAACGGCAGCACAGUAAGAGCUUGCUCUUACGGGUGGCGAGUGGCGGACGGGUGAGGAAUACAUCGGAAUCUACUUUUUCGUGGGGGAUAACGUAGGGAAACUUACGCUAAUACCGCAUACGACCUACGGGUGAAAGCAGGGGAUCUUCGGACCUUGCGCGAUUGAAUGAGCCGAUGUCGGAUUAGCUAGUUGGCGGGGUAAAGGCCCACCAAGGCGACGAUCCGUAGCUGGUCUGAGAGGAUGAUCAGCCACACUGGAACUGAGACACGGCCCAGACUCCUACGGGAGGCAGCAGUGGGGAAUAUUGGAAAAUGGGCGCAAGCCUGAUCCAGCCAUACCGCGUGGGUGAAGAAGGCCUUCGGGUUGUAAAGCCCUUUUGUUGGGAAAGAAAAGCGGCAGGUUAAUCCCCGCUGUUCUGACGGUACCCAAAGAAUAAGCACCGGCUAACUUCGUG
rnacentral:rRNA from 1 species